rnacentral:piRNA from 1 species
UCCUUAACAGUCACAUGACCACAGUAUGC